AUGUUUUUUGCUCCUAAAGAAUACGACCUAACCCUGAAACCGAAACCCAUCCGACGACUCAGCUACCGUAGACAGAAAAGAAAUAACAGUAGCCAUUCGGUACAGCCACAUUUUCAGGAUCUGGCAGCAUACCCACACCGUCAAAACUGGCAAAACACCGACCUUGCAAGGGAAACAGCUGCCUUUCCAGCUCCCCUUUGUCCAGUCGCUGGCACCUCCUCGCCUAACUUCUCCCGGCUCUACUUCCAGGUGGCCAAAACCCGAGAGACGCGAAAACGGACACAGGUGGGUGUGGCGGUUGAGCAGAGCACUGGCGAGAGACUGACUGGCGGCCUCCGUCCCCGCCACACCAGAGGAGCAAGAGAAAAGGCACUUACUUGCCACCGUGUUCGCCGAUCAUGCCCACCCAGUGUGCCCGCAGAGUCUGGCCCCGGGGAGGGCGCGGGCUUCAGGGACCCUUCCUCUCCUCCGGCGUCCUGUCCACUGCUGCCGCUGCCUCUUUCUCUGAGCUCCUGUUGCUCGGCCGGCGCCUGCCACUACCCGCCGCUGGCACCCAAGCUAGCCCAACCCCAAUUCCGGAGCCCGCGGAAUUGGAAACCAGACACUCGCCUGGUGAACGCGGGCGAGGGCCAGCCGGGCCACUGCGCCCCUCCUUCCCGGGCGCGCCCAGAAAGGCGGCGGCCCCGCCCCGGCUCUCCGGCCCCUCCUCGCUCCCCGCCCUUGCCCCACCCUAGCUCCGCGCAGCCCUCCACUCCUGCUGGGGGCGCUGGGCGGGGACCUAGCCCCGACCUCCGGGUUGGAGAUGCCACAGGCUCUCCAUUGUGCUCCAGAAGAGAGCAGAGGAGGGGAUCGCUAGACUGCGCACCCUCACCUACCCCAUUGGAUGGGGCGUUAGUAUGUGAAUGUGUGCGUGUGUGUGUGUGUGUGUGUGUUCCUCCAGCUGCCAGAAGAGUCCUUCCCUUAUUUCACUCCGCCCCCAUCACCCUUUCCACUCUUCCUGCUUUGCUGAAUCGGCUAACGUUUCCGAGAAGCCACUUGACGCGGAGCGAGAGAAAGAACCACGGGCAGAGGAGAUCGAUCAGGCUACCGAGACUUCCAGGCAAGCAAAGAAUGCAUUUCCUUUCAAAGGUGGAGUGAGGAGCUCAGGUCUCCCUGGGUGGAGAGGGAGACUUGACGCAGAGGUUGCCUUUCCCCCACCUGGGACCCGCUCAUCUGGAUAGGCCAUCAGUCAUAUAGGUUCUGACUUUCGGAGCUGGAUAGGAGCGAUUGUGAAAAGAAAUCUUUAUAAAUCACUGUGUGCGGUUGCAUGUGUGUGCGCGCGCGUUUUCUACAACAGCCUGUUGGGAGGAAGAAUGAUGCAAACAAAAUCGAAUUAUCUUUCUCAAAGAGAAACGGGAAAUUUCCACCAAGGAGGAAAAUGGAAGGAUUUAUGACGUUGUGGCAAAGUGGAUCCCGGCCUUAAAAAAGAGAUAGAUCACCUUGCUAUAUAAAUAUGAAUGAUGGGCGUUUGCAGCUUUAGUGUAAUUUACUUCCAUACCUUCUAAUAUGGAGAUGAUAACCUAGUGGUAAACACACAGAAUUUCAAGCCCCAGGAUUAACUUUUCUGGGCGGCUUACUGAGCUUCUGAGAUUUGCCCUUUGGACCUUAGCUGUCAAGUUUCUGAGGCUCUCAGCUGAAGAGUACACUCGGUCACUUGGGGCUAAUUCUCAAUGCCACUUCGUGACCAAGUCACUUUCUCUUCCUUCAUUAUUUGAAGAUAGAGGAAAAAGAAUUAACUGUAGUAGGAGUGACAGCCUUUUUGACUAGAUGCGGUAAAGUCACUGUCUUUUCUUACCACCUUGAAGUCCCCCUUCAACUAAAUUGUCUGAUGCACUGCUAUGUAAAAUUAGCUCAACCAACCAUUUCUCUAUAGUUCCCUGACACCUAAUCUGGGUUUCAUUAGGGAAUAAUCCAUAUGAUAUUCAGAAUAAUUAGAACCCAGAGACUUUCAACCUCAUGUUAUUUUUUUCCUCAAGAAGAUGUAAAUUACAACAUAAAGACUCUAGCUGAUUAAGACAAAGAAAUAAUGAUCAAUGCCUAUGAGAUGAUUAAAUUUAUUAAUAUGAUUAAGAGGAAUUUUGAUCAAAUUCUGUAACACUCAAAGCCUUAAAGAAGCAAUCAAGAACAAAUCAAAGUACCAUGCUAUAAAGUAUAGAAUGUGUUUAUUAGAUUUGUAUUUCCUAGAGGUGAUGUAAAAUCAAGACAGGGACAAGAUGAACUGAUAAAUGAUGGCACCAUAUAGGAAAUCAGAGUCACUUUUGGUGGUUAAUGUCAGAUAACACUGUCCAGAAAACAUCUCUUGGGAUAGUGAUGAGGUACUAGGCUGGGUGAUCCACUGGUUUGAUGAAGUGUAGCUGUUUUUCUUCAUGGCAAAAAAACGUUCUCCCCACCUGUGUGGUAGGAAAGGGAUUUAGUAUCUCCAUCCCCCUGCCACUAAGAAAAUAAUAUACACCAUGCUUUGAUAAUGAGUGUAUACCACGCUUUGCCACUGUAGGAGUCCCUUCACUAUACCUGUGUUCUCAUUGGGAGUCUUAAAAAUAAAACUUCCUUGAUUUGUAUGAGGGGUCCCUGGUGAGAUUUUGCCUGUGAAUUUAUUUGCAAAGUAUGGUGUGUAUUAUUCAUUCUUUUUCUAAUUCUGUUUCAUCUCCCAACUAUUUAGUUACCAUCCAUCUAUUUAGUUCAUGUACCAUUUUCAGUCUCACAAGCUUUUUGUAAUCUCUGCCUUUAGUCCAUGCUGCUUGUGUUUUUAUUGCUCUUCUGGCAGUGCUGGGAUUAUUUAUUAUAUUUUUGUCUCUGUCUAAAUUCAGAAAAAAGAUCAUCUGAGUCUCCUAUUCAGUAUUACAUUAAAUGCCCCUAAGAAUUCACCAAGUACCCAGUGAUGGUGUUAUAUAUAGAUAUAACUAGAUAAUGCCAUUGAAAAGUUUAAAAGGUAGUCUUGAAUUACAGGAGGCAGAGAAGAACCUGGUUGAACCAGCCAACAACCAAUUAAUUCUUGAACUAUUCACAAUUGAUCUUCUAUAAUUUGGGUAGAAAAAAGUAGAGAUGUUUGUAUUUUGAAAUUACUAAUAUUAUUAUUCAAAACCAAAGCAAAAGAAAAGAAUUGUUUUACUUUGGGCUGCCUGGGUGGUUCAGCGGUAAAGGAUCUGCCACAGGAGAAAUGGGUUCAGUCACUGGGUUGGGAAGAUCCCCUGGAGGAGGGCAUGGCAACCCACUCCAGUAUUCUUGCCUGGGGAAUCCCCAUGGACAGAGGAGCCUGGCAGGCUACAGUCCAUAGGGUUGCAAAGAGUCGGACAUGACUGAAGCAAAUUACCACACACACACAACGUGGAAAUCUACACAUUUGUUUUUUUCACAAUUGCCACUCCAAUUUUCAAAACUAUAGAAGUUUCUGGAGAAGAAAUAGGCAGCAAUGUGAGACAAUAAACUAAGCAAUGUAGUACUGGCAGACUUUGCUUUUUCUCAUUAAAUAGGAUUAGAAAUAUAUUUCUUUACUAGUAUGUGCUAAUGACAAUGGAGAAGGCGAUGGCACCCUACUCCAGUACUCUUGCCCGGCAAAUCCUGUGGACGGAGGAGCCUGGUAGGCUGCAGUCCAUGGGGUUGCUAGGAGUCGGACACGACUGAGCGACUUCACUUUCACUUUUCACUGUCAUGCAUUGGAGAAGGAAAUGGCAAUCCACUCCAGUGUUCUUGCCUGGAGAAUCCCAGGGACGGGGGAGCCUGGUGGGCUGUCGUCUAUGGGGUCGCACAGAGUCGGACACGACUGAAGCAACUUAGCAGCAGCAGCAGCUAAUGACAAUACUCUAAUUUGAGAUAAGACAAUUACAAUGUUGUGAAAAUGGGAGCCUACAGCUACAAGUCUUUCUGUAUACGUAGCUAAAAAGUAGCAUUCAAAAGUAGUUUCAAAGUAAAAUUACAAAGGUCUAGAAACAUGAUGCAAUAUGCAAGGGCUUCCCAGGUGGCUCAGUGAUAAAAAAUACAUUUGUCAAGCAGGAGUGCGUGCAUGCAUGCUUAUUCACUUCAGUGGUGUCUGACUUUGCGACACUAUGGACUGUAGCCUACCAGGUUCUCUCUGUCCAUGGGAUUCUCCAGGCAAGAAUACUGGAGUGGAUUGCCAUGCCCUUGGCCAGGGGAUCUUUCUGGCCCAGGAAUCCAAGCAGCGUUUCCUGCAUUGCAUGCAGAUUCUUUACCACUGGGGAAACCUGCCAACCAGGAGAUGUAUGUUCAAUUCCUGGGUAGGGAAUAUACCCUGGAGGAGGAAAUGGCAACUCACUCCAGUAUUCUUGCCUGGAAAAUCCUAUAGACAAAGGAGCCUGGCAGGCUACAGUCCACGAGGUGGCAAAGAGUCUGACACAGCUUAGCAACUGAGCACAGACCUACACAAUAUGCAAAGAAGAUUUUAGACAUAAUCUGGAGUAAUAAAGAUUAUUUAUGCAUAUGCAUAUAAAAUUAUGCAUAAUGAAACAGCAGGAGAAAAGUAGUUUCCUAAAAUGUAUCAGCUUCA
rnacentral:lncRNA from 1 species